UACGAAGGGGGCUAGCGUUGUUCGGAAUCACUGGGCUUAAAGGGCGCGUAGGCGGAUUGCCAAGUCAGGGGUGAAAUCUCUCAGCUCAACUGGGAAAUUGCUUUUGAUACUGGCAGUCUCGAGUGAGGUAGGGGCAUGUGGAACUCUCGGUGGAGCGGUGAAAUGUGUUGAUAUCGGGAGGAACUCCGGUGGCGAAAGCGACGUGCUGGACCUCAACUGACGCUGAGGCGCGAAAGCUAGGGGAGCAAACGGG
rnacentral:rRNA from 1 species